CUUCCCUACGGGAGGCAGCAGUGGGGAAUAAUGCACAAUGGGGGAAACCCUGAUGCAGCGACGCCGCGUGAGUGAAGAAGUAUUUCGGUAUGUAAAUCUCUAUCAGCAGGGAAGAAAAAAGACGGUACCUGACUAAGAAGCCCCGGCUAACUACGUGCCAGCAGCCGCGGUAAUACGUAGGGGGCAAGCGUUAUCCGGAUUUACUGGGUGUAAAGGGAGCGUAGACGGUUGUGCAAGUCAGAAGUGAAAGCCCGGGGCUCAACUCCGGGACUGCUCUUGAAACUGUGAAACUGGAGUGCAGGAGG
rnacentral:rRNA from 1 species